rnacentral:sRNA from 1 species
UCAUCACCAUCAUCAUCCUUAGUCAGUCUGUCGGGAGAUGAGCGCAUACCCGGGAGACAGGAAAUCUCCCGGUGGUUAAUUUGGUUAUAGUCAGAUUGCAAACCCUCGGGAACUAAGCUCCCGAGGGUUUUUUCAU